ACCAGACUCCUACGGGAGGCAGCAGUGGGGAAUAUUGCACAAUGGGCGCAAGCCUGAUGCAGCCAUGCCGCGUGUAUGAAGAAGGCCUUCGGGUUGUAAAGUACUUUCAGCGGGGAGGAAGGCGAUAAGGUUAAUAACCUUGUCGAUUGACGUUACCCGCAGAAGAAGCACCGGCUAACUCCGUGCCAGCAGCCGCGGUAAUACGGAGGGUGCAAGCGUUAAUCGGAAUUUAUUGGCGUAAAGCGCACGGAGGGGGUCUGUCAAAUCGGGUGUGAAAUCCCCGGGCUCAACCUGGGAACUGCAUUCGAAACUGGCAGACUGGAGUCUUGUAGAGGGGGGUAGAAUUCCAGGUGUAGCGGUGAAAUGCGUAGAGAUCUGGAGGAAUACCGGUGGCGAAGGCGGCCCCCUGGACAAAGACUGACGCUCAGGUGCGAAAGCGUGGGGAGCAAACAGGAUUAGAUACCCUAGUAAG
rnacentral:rRNA from 1 species